GUGGGUAACCUGCCUGUAAGAUUGGGAUAACUCCGGGAAACCGGAGCUAAUACCGGAUAACAUUUCGAACCGCAUGGUUCGAAAUUGAAAGAUGGUUUCGGCUAUCACUUACAGAUGGACCCGCGGCGCAUUAACUAGUUGGUGAGGUAACGGCUCACCAAGGCAACGAUGCGUAGCCGACCUGAGAGGGUGAUCGGACACACUGGGACUGAGACACGGGCCAGACUCCUACGGGAGGCAGCAGUAGGGAAUCUUCCGCAAUGGACGAAAGUCUGACGGAGCAACGCCGCGUGAACGAUGAAGGCCUUCGGGUCGUAAAGUUCAUGUUGUUAGGGAAGAACAAGUACCAGAGUAACUGCUGGUACCUUGACGGUACCUAACCAGAAAGCCACGGGUAACUACGUGCCAGCAGCCGCGGUAAUACGUAGGUGGCAAGCGUUGUCCGGAAUUAUUGGGCGUAAAGCGCGCGCAGGCGGUUUCUUAAGUCUGAUGUGAAAGCCCACGGCUCAACCGUGGAGGGUCAUUGGAAACUGGGGAACUUGAGUGCAGAAGAGGAGAGUGGAAUUCCACGUGUAGCGGUGAAAUGCGUAGAGAUGUGGAGGAACACCAGUGGCGAAGGCGACUCUCUGGUCUGUAACUGACGCUGAGGCGCGAAAGCGUGGGGAGCGAACAGGAUUAGAUACCCUGGUAGUCCACGCCGUAAACGAUGAGUGCUAAGUGUUAGAGGGUUUCCGCCCUUUAGUGCUGCAGCAAACGCAUUAAGCACUCCGCCUGGGGAGUACGGUCGCAAGACUGAAACUCAAAGGAAUUGACGGGGGCCCGCACAAGCGGUGGAGCAUGUGGUUUAAUUCGAAGCAACGCGAAGAACCUUACCAGGUCUUGACAUCCUUCGCUACUUCUAGAGAUAGAAGGUUCCCCUUCGGGGGACGAAGUGACAGGUGGUGCAUGGUUGUCGUCAGCUCGUGUCGUGAGAUGUUGGGUUAAGUCCCGCAACGAGCGCAACCCUUGAUCUUAGUUGCCAGCAUUCAGUUGGGCACUCUAAGGUGACUGCCGGUGACAAACCGGAGGAAGGUGGGGAUGACGUCAAAUCAUCAUGCCCCUUAUGACCUGGGCUACACACGUGCUACAAUGGAUGGUACAAAGGGC
rnacentral:rRNA from 2 species